rnacentral:rRNA from 1 species
GGGCCCGCACAAGCGGUGGAGCAUGUGGUUUAAUUCGAUGCAACGCGAAGAACCUUACCUGGUCUUGACAUACACAGAAUCUUGUAGAGAUACGAGAGUGCCUUCGGGAGCCAAGUGACAGGUGCUGCAUGGCUGUCGUCAGCUCGUGUCGUGAGAUGUUGGGUUAAGUCCCGUAACGAGCGCAACCCACGUCUUUAGUUGCCAGCAUUUAGUUGGGCACUCUAGAGAGACUGCCGGUGAUAAACCGGAGGAAGGCGGGGAUGACGUCAAGUCCUCAUGGCCCUUACACGCGGGGCUACACACGUGCUACAAUGGCAGUGACAAUGGGAUAAUCCCCAAAAGCUGUCUCAGUUCAGAUUGUCCUCUGCAACUCGAGGGCAUGAAGUUGGAAUCGCUAGUAAUCG